GUGGUCUAGGGAGAGGCUCCUGUGUUUCUAAACCUGCCCAAUGGUGGGGGCUGCCUCGUAGCAGGAGCCCGCCUCCUGACCUGGAGUAAAUUCCCAGGAGAAGUUUCUCCUGGGCUUUGAAUUUGCACUAACAGGUGUGAACAUCCUAGUAGUGGUUUGAUGAUUAUAUCUGAUACUGCAAACAGAC